rnacentral:rRNA from 1 species
GUGGGGAAUCUUAGACAAUGGGGGAAACCCUGAUCUAGCCAUGCCGCGUGAGCGAUGAAGGCCUUAGGGUUGUAAAGCUCUUUCAGCUGGGAAGAUAAUGACGGUACCAGCAGAAGAAGCCCCGGCUAACUCCGUGCCAGCAGCCGCGGUAAUACGGAGGGGGCUAGCGUUGUUCGGAAUUACUGGGCGUAAAGCGCACGUAGGCGGACUGGAAAGUCAGGGGUGAAAUCCCGGGGCUCAACCCCGGAACUGCCUUUGAAACUCCCAGUCUUGAGUUCGAGAGAGGUGAGUGGAAUUCCGAGUGUAGAGGUGAAAUUCGUAGAUAUUCGGAGGAACACCAGUGGCGAAGGCGGCUCACUGGCUCGAUACUGACGCUGAGGUGCGAAAGCGUGGGGAGCAAACAGGAUUAGAAACCCUAGUAGUCC